rfam:Clostridiales bacterium CHKCI001 isolate CHKC1 genome assembly, contig: {contig18}
GGUUAUGCAAGAAAGAGCGCAGGGUGGAUGCCUUGGCACUAAGAGCCGAUGAAAGACGUGAUAAGCUGCGAAAAGCUUCGGGGAGGAGCAAAUAUCCCGUGAUCCGGAGAUGUCUGAAUGGGGAAACCUACUGGAGAAAUCCUCCAGUAUCCAUACGCCAAUCCAUAACGUAUGGAAGGGAACCUGGGGAACUGAAACAUCUAAGUACCCAGAGGAAGAGAAAGAAACAUCGAUUUCCUAAGUAGCGGCGAGCGAAAGGGAAAGAGCCUAAACCAGAGUGCGAGCAUUCUGGGGUUACGGACCGCAAGAAGUGAGAGGAAUUUGUAGUAGAAUGGUUUUGGGAAAGCCAGCCAGAGAGGGUGAAAGCCCCGUAUACGAAACAAAUACUUAGCGAGCGGGAUCCAGAGUACCACGAGACACGAGAAACCUUGUGGGAAGUAAGGGGGACCACCCCCUAAGGCUAAAUACUACUUAGUGACCGAUAGCGCAUAGUACUGUGAAGGAAAGGUGAAAAGAACCCCGGGAGGGGAGUGAAAGAGAACCUGAAACCCUGUGUUUACAAGCUGUGGAAGUGCAAAAGCACAACCGCGUACUUUUUGUAGAACGGUCCGGCGAGUUACGUCUACUGGCAAGGUUAACUUCUUAGAGGAAGGAAGCCGAAGGGAUACCAAGUGUGAAGAGCGCGUAAAGUCAGUAGGAGUAGACCCGAAACCGGGUGAUCUAUCCAUGUCCAGGUUGAAGUUUCCGUAAAAGGGAAUGGAGGACCGAACUCACAUCCGUUGAAAAGGGUGGGGAUGAGGUGUGGAUAGGGGAGAAAUUCCAAUCGAACCCGGAGAUAGCUGGUUCUCCUCGAAAUAGCUUUAGGGCUAGCCUCGAUGGAGUCUGGUGGAGGUAGAGCACUGAAUUUCCUAGGGGGCGUCAAAGCUUACCGAAGAAUAUCAAACUCCGAAUGCCAUACAGAUGCUCAUCGGGAGUCAGACGGCACGAGAUAAGUUGGGUCGUCGAAAGGGAAAGAGCCCAGACCUACAGCUAAGGUCCCAAAGUGCGUGUUAAGUGGAAAAGGAUGUGGGAGUUCGAAGACAACUAGGAUGUUGGCUCAGAAGCAGCCAUACAUUCAAAGAGUGCGUAAUAGCUCACUAGUCGAGAGGUCCUGCGCCGAAAAUGUCCGGGGCUAAAACACGACACCGAAGCUUAGGAAUGUACGAAAGUAUAUUGGUAGAGGAGCAUUCUUAAAGAGGCGAAGCAGUACUGGAAAGAGCUGUGGAUUUUUAAGAAGAGAGAAUGCCGGAAUGAGUAGCGAGAUGGAGGUGAGAAUCCUCCAGACCGAAUAUCCAAGGUUUCCAGGGUAAAGCUGAUCUGCCCUGGGUAAGUCGGGACCUAAGGCGAGGCUGAGAAGCGUAGUCGAUGGAGAACAGGUGGAAAUUCCUGUACUUUCAAUAAACAGAACUGUGGGGACGCAGAGAGAGAGUCAGAGCUGGGAAUGAGAAGACCAGUACAAGCGAGGUACCAGUAUAGUAGGAAAAACCGCUAUGCAAUGGGAAGACGUGAAGUGGACCGAAAAAUAGUAGGGAAGCUGAUGAGCUAGCUGCCAAGAAAAGCCGCUAUUGAUUUAUUGAAACCCGUACCGUAAACCGACACAGGUGGAUGAGGAGAGAAUCCUAAGGUCGACGGGAGAAGCAUUGUUAAGGAACUCGGCAAAAUGACCCCGUAACUUCGGGAGAAGGGGUGCCAGAGAGAUCUGGCCGCAGAGAAUUGGCCCAAGCAACUGUUUAGCAAAAACACAGGUCUAUGCAAAACCGAAAGGUGAGGUAUAUGGGCUGACGCCUGCCCGGUGCUGGAAGGUUAAGGGGAGAUGUCAGGAAACGAAGCAUUGAACUUAAGCCCCAGUAAACGGCGGCCGUAACUAUAACGGUCCUAAGGUAGCGAAAUUCCUUGUCGGGUAAGUUCCGACCCGCACGAAAGGCGUAAUGAUUUGGGCACUGUCUCGACAAUGCACCCGGUGAAAUUGAAGUACCAGUGAAGAUGCUGGUUACCCGCGCCAGGACGGAAAGACCCCAUGGAGCUUUACUCUAGUUUGAUACUGGGAUUCGGUAUUGCAUGUACAGGAUAGGUGGGAGGCGAAGAAGGUAUGACGCCAGUUGUACUGGAGCCGACGUUGGGAUACCACCCUUGCAGUACUGGGUUUCUAACCAGCUACCGUUAUCCGGUAGUGGGACAAUGUCAGGCGGGGAGUUUGACUGGGGCGGUCGCCUCCGAAAGGGUAUCGGAGGCGCUCAAGGGUUCCCUCAGAAUGGUUGGAAACCAUUCGAAGAGUGCAAAGGCAGAAGGGAGCUUGACUGUGACACCGACGGGUGGAGCAGGUACGAAAGUAGGACUUAGUGAUCCGGUGGUAUUAAGUGGGAAUGCCAUCGCUCAACGGAUAAAAGCUACCCUGGGGAUAACAGGCUUAUCACUCCCAAGAGUUCACAUCGACGGAGUGGUUUGGCACCUCGAUGUCGGCUCAUCGCAUCCUGGGGCUGGAGUAGGUCCCAAGGGUUGGGCUGUUCGCCCAUUAAAGCGGUACGCGAGCUGGGUUCAGAACGUCGUGAGACAGUUCGGUCCCUAUCCGGCGCGGGCGUAGGAUAUUUGAGAGGAGCUGUCCUUAGUACGAGAGGACCGGGAUGGACUAGCCGCUGGUGGAUCGGUUGUAGAUCAAAUGCAUGGCCGAGUAGCCAAGCUGGGAAGGGAUAAACGCUGAAGGCAUCUAAGCGUGAAGCCCCCCUCAAGAAGAGAUAUCCCAUUUGAAAGAAGUAAGACCCCUUGAAGACGACGAGGUAGAUAGGGCAGAGGUGGAAGUACAGUAAUGUAUGGAGCUGACUGUUACUAAUCGGUCGAGGGCAUAACCUG